UACGUAGGGUGCAAGCGUUAAUCGGAAUUACUGGGCGUAAAGCGUGCGCAGGCGGUGAUGUAAGACAGUUGUGAAAUCCCCGGGCUCAACCUGGGAACUGCAUCUGUGACUGCACGGCUAGAGUGUGUCAGAGGGGGGUAGAAUUCCACGUGUAGCAGUGAAAUGCGUAGAGAUGUGGAGGAAUACCGAUGGCGAAGGCAGCCCCCUGGGAUAACACUGACGCUCAUGCACGAAAGCGUGGGGGAGCAAACAGG
rnacentral:rRNA from 1 species